rnacentral:lncRNA from 1 species
AAAAUAUCCAGUAAUAUUUACUGCUGAAGCUAAAUCAAUCCAACGAACAUCGGCACCAUGAUAGGAGACGUAAUUUCGAUUGAAUUUUCCAAGGACCCUUUACAUCGUUAUUGGGAAACGAAGUGUGUUAAAACGUCGGUCAAAUCUGAAAUCGAUUUUGUCAAGUCAUUGGGCAUUUAUUUUCACACAAGAUCGUAUGUAACAUUAUGCACAUAGGAAAAAUAAUAGACCCCCGGCGCAAUCUCUUUGAAAAUUGUAUUUUCCUUUUUUAAACAAGACGAAACAAGCCUACAGAUUAUGUUUGCUUACAUCCCGUUGGAAACAAAUACAAUGUUUAGACCUAGUAUUUCGUAUAUCCGGCUGUAUGGGCGUGAUCACAUGUUAGUCACAUGUUUCACGUAUGACCGGAAAUGAUUAGAACUUAACGACAAAAACAAUUUUAAUAAAUAAA